UAUCAAGGUUAUAAACAUGAAAGGCAAAGUCUGGAAGAGGUCUUGAUUUGGAGGUGAAAGAUACUGAAUUCUGUUUGGUCUCUAAGAUGGACAUAUUGAGCUUGAGAAGUUUCUGAUGUCUAACAUGUCUAUUGGAUAACUGAUGAUGCAGAGUUGAAGGCUGGAGUAGAGACAGAGACUGGAUAUAUCAACCUGUGUCAAACAUGCUUUGGAAAGCCUACAAUUUUUCCGUGAGGAUAAAGAGGACUUCCUGUCUAAUGAAGGUUGCUGAACUUGUGGCAAAGAAUUGGAAAUUGAAGAAUGUCCCUCAAUUGGGGAAUGGCUGAACAAAUUGUGGUAUAUGUUGUGCUAUAAGAAAUGAUAAGCAGGAUGAUUUCAGAAAGCUGGAAAGAUCUACAUGAACUGAUGCUAAGUGAAAUAAAUAUAAUAUAAUAAAUAUAACCA
rnacentral:lncRNA from 1 species